rnacentral:rRNA from 1 species
UACGAAGGGGGGCGAGCGUUGUUCGGAAUUACUGGGCGUAAAGGGCGCGCAGGCGGUCCUUCAAGUCAGAUGUGAAAGCCCCGGGCCUCAACCUGGGAAGCUGCAUUUGAGACUGGAGGACUUGAGUACGGAAGAGGUAUGUGGAACUCCGAGUGUAGAGGUGAAAUUCGUAGAUAUUCGGAAGAACACCAGUGGCGAAGGCGACAUACUGGUCCGUUACUGACGCUGAGGCUCGAAAGCGUGGGGAGCAAACAGGG